rnacentral:misc_RNA from 1 species
GUAAUAUAUAUGAAUACAAUAAACAACUGUUGGACAAAACUUAAGAAUAAGCUGGAGUAAACAAUUGCUUCGAUUUGAAGAAAUAUUUGAACAGAAACUGAACCAUUUCUUGAGACAGUUGAGGUAAUUAACCGGAAUCAACUUGAGAAAUAACAGUGUUUUAAAGAAAUUACAGUUAGGAAACUACUGUAUUAAAGGUAUUUCGAAUAGCAUAAGCUGGCCUCUGUCUUGAAAAAUAACUUUAUUAAUGUUACAUAUCUUUCGGUAUAUUGUUAUCUUAAAUGUAAAUUUUACAUUCUAUCUUCUCAGCAUUUGUAAAGCAACUAAGCUGAAUGUAUGAACUUUUUACUGGCACUUUUCUGUAAAUUAGGCUGAGAAAUAUUUUUAUAAGUGAUUUAGGCUUGCUGAUACAUUAUUGAUGUUACAUAGUCUUGUUUGUGUUAACGACGCUGAAUAUUAAAACAUUAAAAAAAAUGGAAUGAUUAUUUAAACUUUGUGUUUGAUAGUUUGGGAGAUAGGAUAAUGUCUGUCUGCUACUGACCUACUUACUGUACAAAUAAACUUGAGUCCAAAGCCAGGAAAUGUUUCGAACAAUCUGCAUGAUAAAGCUUCACUCUACAGUUAAU